GACGAACGCUGGCGGCGUGCCUAAUACAUGCAAGUCGAGCGGACGAAUCGAAAGCUUGCUUUUGAUUCGUUAGCGGCGGACGGGUGAGUAACACGUGGGCAACCUGCCCUGUAGACGGGGAUAACACCGAGAAAUCGGUGCUAAUACCGGAUAACACGAAAUGUCGCAUGACGUUUCGUUGAAAGACGGCGCACGCUGUCGCUACAGGAUGGGCCCGCGGCGCAUUAGCUAGUUGGUGAGGUAACGGCUCACCAAGGCGACGAUGCGUAGCCGACCUGAGAGGGUGAUCGGCCACACUGGGACUGAGACACGGCCCAGACUCCUACGGGAGGCAGCAGUAGGGAAUCUUCCGCAAUGGGCGAAAGUCUGACGGAGCAACGCCGCGUGAGCGAAGAAGGCCUUCGGGUCGUAAAGCUCUGUUGUUAGGGAAGAACAAGUAACGCAGUAACUGGCGUUACCGUGACGGUACCUAACGAGAAAGCCACGGCUAACUACGUG
rnacentral:rRNA from 1 species